rnacentral:RNase_P_RNA from 1 species
GCGACGGUUCAGGCGAUCGCACCGGGUUUCUGGCAACAGCUAUCCGGCGAGGAAAGUCCGAACGCCACAGAGCAGAAUGCCCGGAGAGAAUCCGGGGCAUUUAUUGCCCAAGCGAUAAAUGACGGAAAGUGUCACAGAAACGAUACCGUCCCGGUUUUCCGGGAUAAGGGUGAAAUGGCAGGGUAAGAGCCUACCGGCCGGUUUCCGAAAGGAAAUGCCGUUGGCAUCAGCAAUGACCGGGCCGGACAAACCCCAUUCGGCGCAAGAUCAAAUAGGGUAGAAUUUUCGUUCGCGAAAAACGUGGCUGCUCGCUGCGUUCCCCGGCUUGCCGGGGUGAACUUCCGGGUGGAUCGCUUAGAUAAAUGAUCGCCCUCCGGUCAACCGGAGACAGAAUUCGGCUUAUCGAACCGUCGCCGGU